UACGAAGGGGGGCUAGCGUUGCUCGGAAUCACUGGGCGUAAAGCGCACGUAGGCGGAUUGUUAAGUCAGGGGGUGAAAUCCUGGAGCUCAACUCCAGAACUGCCUUUGAUACUGAAGAUCUUGAGUCCGGGAGAGGUGAGUGGAACUGCGAGUGUAGAGGUGAAAUUCGUAGAUAUUCGCAAGAACACCCGUGGCGAAGGCGGCUCUCUGGAACGCAACUGACGCUGAGACGCGAA
rnacentral:rRNA from 1 species